GUAGCAUCCGUUAAUGACAUUGCAUCACGAGCCAACCAUGCUCCCGCGAACGGAGAGCAGGACCAACUCGGAGGCAAGCGUCAUCCAAGGCAACCGAAAUUCGAGGGACACAAUGAGGCAUCAACCCACGUUCACCGCAUGGACUGCAUCCGAGAGAACGGCAUAUGCCCGUGUACCAGAGAAGCCGUGACAAAGCAUGACUAAUAUGGAGCACGUGCAUUACCUUGAAAUCCUUCGGCAACCCAGCAAAGGAGGCCCGAAUGGAAGGAUAAUUACGAGGCACAUGGAUACCAUCCAACAGGUAGUCAGCACAGGAACCGCAAAUGAACACCAGAGCC
rnacentral:misc_RNA from 1 species